rnacentral:rRNA from 1 species
UGCGUAAUAGCUCACUGGUCGAGGGUUUCGGCGCCGAUAAUGAUCGGGAAUAAGCAAUGUACCGAAGCUGCGGGCUGCGUAAGCAGCGGUAGGAGAGCGUUCCUGUCAGCAGAGAAGGCGUCCCGAAAGGGUCGCUGGAGCGUCAGGAAGUGAAUAUGCCGGGUUGAGUAACGAUAAAGCAGGUGAAAAUCCUGCUCGCCGAAAAUCUAAGGUUUCCUGGGGAAGGUAAAUCCGCCCAGGGUCAGCCGGGACCUAAGGUGAGGCCGAAAGGCGUAGCCGAUGGACGGCAGGUUAACAUUCCUGCGCUACUGUGGAGAUCAAUCAUGAGUGCGGAUCGGUCAGCCCUGCGUAAGCACCAGCUUGCUGAGGCCCUUGAGGCCGCUGCAGGGGGCUCCGGUCCCGAGAAAAGCUCAUGUGGCAAAGCAGUACCCGUACCAAAACCGACACAGGUAGAUGAGGUGAAUAACCUAAGGCGCUCGAGAUAACGGAAGUGAAGGAACUAGGCAAAUUGACCCCGUAAGUUCGCGAUAAGGGGGCCCUACCCCUCGGGGAGGGCGCAGAGAAAAGGCUCUGGCGACUGUUUAUCAAAAACACAGCACUGUGCUAACUCGUAAGAGGACGUAUACAGUGUGACGCCUGCCCAAUGCCGGAAUGUCACGGAAGCAGGUUAGGUUUAUCCGAAGCUUGUGACCUAAGCACCGGUCAAUGGCGGCCGUAACUAUGACGGUCCUAAGGUAGCGAAGUUCCUUGUCGGGUAAGUUCCGACGCGCAUGAAUGGCGUAACGAUUGACACACUGUCUCAACUACCAACUCGGUGAAAUAGAAGACGCGGUGAAGAUACCGCGUACCCGCAGCAAGACGGAAAGACCCCGUGCACCUUUACUGUAGGCUGAUAUUGGCCAAGACCCUACAUUGCGUAGGAUAGGUGGGAGGCUUUGAAACUGGGAUUCUGGUCCCGGUGGAGCCGUCCUUGAAAUACCACCCUGUGUAUCGUUUUGACCUAACUCGGACCCAUGAAUCUGGGCCGAAGACAGUGUUUGCUGGGCAGUUUGACUGGGGCGGUCUCCUCCUAAAAAGUAACGGAGGAGUGCAAAGGUUGGCUCAGCAUGGUUGGAAACCAUGUGUCGAGUACAAGAGCAUAAGCCAGCUUUACUGCAAGACAUACAGGUCAAGCAGUCUCGAAAGAGGGCUCUAGUGAUCCGGUAGUCCCGUGUGGAAGGGCUAUCGCUCAACGGAUAAAAGGUACGCCGGGGAUAACAGGCUGAUCGCUCCCGAGCGUCCAUAGCGGCGGAGCGGUUUGGCACCUCGAUGUCGGCUC